rnacentral:lncRNA from 1 species
CUCAGAGGGUGGAGGCAGGGGACACCCCAGAGCAAUCUGGCUAGCUAGACUACUGGUAAGCUCUGGGUUUGAUUGAGAUAUACUGCCUUGGGCUGGAGAGAUGGCUCAGCCGUUAAAGGCUAGGCUCGAAACCAAAAAAAUAUUAAGAGAUACACUGCCUCAAUAAAUGAGAUGGAAAACUCGAACUUCAGGCCUCUACACGAAUGUGCACAUAUGUGCAAACCCCACGCAUGCAAAAACAUGCAAACCACAGAGACACACAUCAAAAAAUAGAAAAAAAGGAAUUUUAUUUUUUCCAUUUUAUGUGUAUGAGUGUUUCUUUGUCUGUGUAUGCAGUGCCCUCAAUGGCCAGAAGAGGGCAUCAUGCUGGGAGGUGGUGGCGCACGCCUUUAAUCCCAGCAGUCAGGAGGCAGAGGCAGAGGAUCUAAGUGACUUCGAGGCCAGCAAGAGUGCUGUGGGACAUCUGGCCCCAUGGACUGGGUGA